UACAUGUUGUAAUGGACGAGAAUCAGAAAGUAAAGAGAUCUUUAGAAAAUAAAAACCUUUAGGAUGGGAAGAUCUAACUAUGGUGAGGAAAGAAGUGAAGGAUGUGGAGGAUAAGAUGUGUGACGAUAUGGACCCAGUAACCCGUGAAAAAUAGUAUUAUGUACAAAUGUACAAUUAAUGCAAACCAAGAAGCGGGCCUAAACCCCUCGCUCUCCUUUGAAAUACGCCACUGAACAUAAUAUCUUAUACAGUAUGACGGAAUUAUUAUUAAAAUAUUAUUAAUUUGUAAAUUAUAAAC